GUUAGCAAAGUUUUCGUAAGUUUUCAUAUUUUUUUGAUUUUUAUCAAUUACAUCAUUUUCUUCAGUUUACAGAGUUCAAACUUAUUAGAUGACAUUUCUGCUCAAACUACAACCGAUCAACGCCGGUUAGUAAAUCAGUGGAACUCCUCCGGCCGCUGUUAGGAAUACUGUUUCUUUUCGAACCUCCGGACGCGCGUUUACCCCGUGCAGCUGCAGCUCAAAUGCCAUCACUACCGUCGGAACCGCCUGCCAUGAUUUAUCGAAUAUUUCGCUUUAUUCUGACGUGUCUUCGUGAACACGCCCAUCAUCUUCCGGAAGUUGCCCUGGUGCGUCCGGAUUCUCUCCAGCAUUGCCCGCAUCAUCUCCACGUCUUUCCGUCAGCAAGCGUGUGUGCGCAUCGGCUACCGUAACGACAGCUCCUGGUACACCGAAUCCGGUAAAAAUCCGUCGUCCCAACGAACCUUCUGAUCAAACCACCCAAUCGACGGUCAGCUUGGCCGGAUCUACGACGAUAAACGCAAUUAUGCAGUCUUCGAGCACCUCAAGCAUCGCUCAGUCGACCGGAGGAAUGGCACCGACGCUUCGGUAGUCCUGGUCUGUCCCAGAUAAGACAACUUUUGAUGCUGGCGCCCAAACCACCGCCCAUUCUGAUCCAUGAUAAGUAAGGCCCUCAACAAACUCAAGGAACUGCAGGAUUGCGACAUGAACGCGGUGCUGAAGGACCACGCCGGAAUGACGAAUCAAUUUCUUCGAUAAAGCAACACGAACCUGCCCACGAAGGAGGGCCCGAGUACGGAGUAACGGGUGUUCUAUUUGUUGGAAAGCGUCAACCUUGCAGACCGGACCGGAAGAACCGGUCAAGGACACUGCCAUCUCCAGACCACUAGCGCCGAUACCAACAUCAAUCUAGAACUCGAAUAAUAUCACUGGGAGUUCCAUCAACUAAACACUGGCAGCUCCGACAACUCACUGCGCAUUUAGAGCUAUAUGAUCACCAACAAAACAAGAAUCCACCCACCAUCAAAACGGUCGAGUGCGACUACACCCAUCUGCGUGUCUGACGACGGGCAUGAACCGAAACCGGCACGUAACCGUCGCCGGACGCGAGUUUCGUUGAGAAGAAAACCUAACCCUUGGCCAACAUGAAAAAGUCGGCGAAAAAUGCACCGUCGUCGUCGAAUCUAACCUGGUCAAGCGG